rnacentral:rRNA from 1 species
GAUGAACGCUGGCGGCGUGCUUAACACAUGCAAGUCGAACGAUGAAGCCCAGCUUGCUGGGUGGAUUAGUGGCGAACGGGUGAGUAACACGUGAGUAACCUGCCCUUAACUCUGGGAUAAGCCUGGGAAACUGGGUCUAAUACCGGAUAGGAGCGUCCACCGCAUGGUGGGUGUUGGAAAGAUUUAUCGGUUUUGGAUGGACUCGCGGCCUAUCAGCUUGUUGGUGGGGUAAUGGCUCACCAAGGCGACGACGGGUAGCCGGCCUGAGAGGGUGACCGGCCACACUGGGACUGAGACACGGCCCAGACUCCUACGGGAGGCAGCAGUGGGGAAUAUUGCACAAUGGGCGCAAGCCUGAUGCAGCGACGCCGCGUGAGGGAUGACGGCCUUCGGGUUGUAAACCUCUUUCAGUAGGGAAGAAGCGAAAGUGACGGUACCUGCAGAAGAAGCACCGGCUAACUACGUG